GGAGAGGUGGCUCAGAGGUUAAGAGCACUGACUGUUCUUCCAGAGGCCCUGAGUUCAAUUCCCAGCAACUACA
rnacentral:tRNA from 1 species